rnacentral:lncRNA from 1 species
AUCCCCAUCACCAAGCCAUAGUCCUCUACACGGUGUCCACAAGCGACACCCGAUCCCAAAUCCUAGGUUCCCGAAAUUUCACCAAGGAAUUAUUGUUGACCAAACAGGGUCAAAGCACACCUUGUAGCAAAAAUCAUGCCACAUGCUGGAUCAGAAGACCCCUUGCUAGAACUGUCACCUUCAACGUCCCCUAAAACAUUCCAGACAUUACUGACUAUGCUCAAUGAGUCCAAACCUAGCAAUUGAAUACAGUGUAUCCGUUAAAAUUGGUGGUAAAGCAGAAUUACCAACGCUUUCCCUAGCAGUGUUCUUAACCAACUUAGAGCUCGCCACAAGAGAUACUGUACUAAACUGAACUUCCACCACGGUACCGGACUUGUCCAAAUGUCUCUUGAUUGGUUCUACGUUCCCCUGUGAGAUGUACAACUGAGACUUCUUCCGUCCCUACAGUACAACCAGGACACCCAUUCGGACCUUCAAGACUCCACCUCCAUCAGAGAAUUUAUACCCUUUUGCAUCCAAGAUACUCAACGAUAUGAGAUUCUUUGUCAAGUCUAGAACAUGGCGAAUCUGAUCAAGUGUCCUCACUGUCCCAUCUUGUAGCCUCAAUCUGACCCGAUCGACUCCUACAACCCUACAAGAUUGGUUAUUUCCCAUGACAACUCCAUUUUGCUUCACCGUCUCAUAUAUCUGAAAUAAAGUCCUAUUAGGAUACAUAUGAUACAAACAUGCAGAAUCCAGAAUCCACUCCCCAGGUUUGGAUUUCCCGUCAGAUACAGCCAACAUUACAUCUCCAUCUUUCGAAAAAUUCUCAACAAUGUUAGUCUCGUUACCUGAUUACCCCGCAUGAUUUUCCAUGUAAAUCACCUUGAUCCUGCAACUUGUUGCAAUCUUUCUUAUUGUGUCCUUUCCUCUUACAGUAAUAACAAUAUAUAUUGCUGUACCUCACCUUCGAUCUAGUAACCAGAGCAUCUCCACCCCUAAAUGUAGGAUUUCCAACCAACAGCUCCAUCUUUUCUGUUGAGAACAGGGUGUCAUAUACCUCCUCAAUGGUCAGCGUGUCACGACCAUACAAUAUAGUAUCACGAAACGACGAAAAAGAAUUGGGUAGCGAACACAACAGGAUCAAGACCAAAUCCUUUUCAUCAUAUUUUACCUCCAAUGUCUCUAAAUCUGCAACAAUCUCCUCAAACAUAGUAAGAUGGUCCUGCAAUGACCCUCAUUCUGUCAUGCGAUGGGAAUAUGGCUUCUGCUUUAGAGUCAGUUUUCUUGUCAGACUCUUUAUUAUGCACAACUACUCCAACUUGAGCCACAAAGUAGACGCCGUCUUCUCUUUCAAAACAUCUUGUAGAAUAUUAUUGAAUAAGUGAAGAUGAAUCUAUGCUAAAGCCUUUCGAUCUCUCCGUUGUUUCUCCUAUAUAGACAAAUUUGAUGGCCUCCUCUCAAAAGUCAGCAAAGUAUCGUCAAGAUCCAUCUGAGUUAACACAGCCCUCACCUUUAUUGCCAUAGCAAAAAUCUUGUAUUGUGAUCCAGCAGUGGAAUUUCAUAUUUCAACGAAUUCAUCCUUGAAAAAUCUCAACAAAAUCACGAAGAACCUGCAACCCCUGCUCUGAUACCACUUGUUGAUCCCAAAGGCGAUGUAAAAUUGAGAUUUAAUGGCAAUAAUGAAAU